rnacentral:rRNA from 1 species
UACGAAGGGGGCUAGCGUUGUUCGGAUUUACUGGGCGUAAAGCGCACGUAGGCGGAUAGUUAAGUGAGAGGUGAAAUCCCAGGGCUCAACCCUGGAACUGCCUUUCAUACUGGCUAUCUCGAGUUCGGAAGAGGUGAGUGGAAUUCCAAGUGUAGAGGUGAAAUUCGUAGAUAUUUGGAAGAACACCGGUGGCGAAGGCGGCUCACUGGUCCGAUACUGACGCUGAGGUGCGAAAGCGUGGGGAGCAAACAGG